AUGUCUGAGCUUGCACCCCAGAUCAAUGAGGUGAGGCCAAUAUUCGGACAGUAUGUUCUGCCUAACGAUGUCUCCACCACGCACCUAUUGUUCCCAGUCAGCAAAAGCUGUCGCGUGACCAGUUCUGAGUGCCGACACAUUUACACAAAACCUGAUCCAUCACAAACGUCAACUCUAAAUCGUCAACUCUACAUUCAAUUCCCUUGGGAACUAAGCAGUCAACUGGAAACUUGA